GUAUAAGAGACAGCAGUAGCCGCGGGAAUACGUAGGUGGCAAGCGUUGCCCGGAAUUAUUGGGCGUAAAGCGAGCGCAGGCGGUCAAUUAAGUCUGAUGUGAAAGCCCCCGGCUCAACCGGGGAGGGUCAUUGGAAACUGGUUGACUUGAGUGCAGAAGAGGAGAGUGGAAUUCCAUGUGUAGCGGUGAAAUGCGUAGAUAUAUGGAGGAACACCAGUGGCGAAGGCGACUCUCUGGUCUGUAACUGACGCUGAGGCUCGAAAGCGUGGGUAGCAAACAGGAUUAGAUACCCCCGUAGUCCCUGUCUCUUAUAC
rnacentral:rRNA from 1 species